GUGGGGAAUAUUGCGCAAUGGGGGAAACCCUGACGCAGCGACGCCGUGUGAGGGAAGAAGGCUUUCGGGUCGUAAACCUCUGUCAGAAAGGAAGAACCUCCCAUAUCCGAAUAGGGUGUGGGACUGACGGUACUUUCAAAGGAAGCACCGGCUAACUCCGUGCCAGCAGCCGCGGUAAUACGGAGGGUGCUAGCGUUAAUCGGAAUCACUGGGCGUAAAGCGCGCGUAGGCCGCUUCUUAAGUCGGACGGGAAAGCCCUCGACUCAACCGGGGAACUGCGUUCGAUACUGGGAGGCUUGAGUCCUGGAGAGGGUGGCGGAAUUCCGGGUGUAGGAGUGAAAUCCGUAGAUAUCCGGAGGAACACCGGUGGCGAAGGCGGCCACCUGGACAGGUACUGACGCUGAGGCGCGAAAGCGUGGGGAGCAAACAGGAUUAGAAACCCGAGUAGUCC
rnacentral:rRNA from 1 species